UGGGUGUCCAGCGCUGAUCCUAGACUCGCCAAUGCAUCUGCAUGAGUGUUCUCUGCCCAUGGUACUUGUUGGAUGGUGAAAGUAGAGAAUUCUUUCAAAAGCCCUUGGACCAUUCUUGGAUGUUUUGCCAUGUACUCGCCUGAGGCUUGAUUCGCAAUCAGCUGGGAGUUUGAGUAGAUGGGGAGCAAUGCCUCAUGUUCUGCCUCAUUGUUUGAAGCAGGAAAGCCUA
rnacentral:lncRNA from 1 species